AUUGAACGCUGGCGGCAGGCUUAACACAUGCCAGUCGAGCGGGGGAAGGUAGCUUGCUACCGGACCUAGCGGCGGACGGGUGAGUAAUGCUUAGGAAUCUGCCUAUUAGUGGGGGACAACAUCUCGAAAGGGAUGCUAAUACCGCAUACGUCCUACGGGAGAAAGCAGGGGAUCUUCGGACCUUGCGCUAAUAGAUGAGCCUAAGUCGGAUUAGCUAGUUGGUGGGGUAAAGGCCUACCAAGGCGACGAUCUGUAGCGGGUCUGAGAGGAUGAUCCGCCACACUGGGACUGAGACACGGCCCAGACUCCUCCGGGAGGCAGCAGUGGGGAAUAUUGGACAAUGGGGGGAACCCUGAUCCAGCCAUGCCGCGUGUGUGAAGAAGGCCUUAUGGUUGUAAAGCACUUUAAGCGAGGAGGAGGCUACUUUAGUUAAUACCUAGAGAUAGUGGACGUUACUCGCAGAAUAAGCACCGGCUAACUCUGUG
rnacentral:rRNA from 1 species